rnacentral:lncRNA from 1 species
ACCUAAGAAGAGGUACCAAACGCUCGUGAAGACAACGUUUUAAAAUAAUGACCGAAUAAUGUCGCCUCAAAUAAAAAAAAUAAAUAAAUUGAAUCUACCACAUGAUUUGCCAUGUUACUGAGAAAGGUUUUUAAAACAAAAACAAUUGAGUCAAGUUAUAAUUGUGAAAGCAUCAAAUGUUUGAGUUGGUUAUUUUGGAAAUGGUUUAUCAUUGCAAGAAUGGUGGCACCCAAUAUUAAGACUAUAGGUAAUGUCAAUGUAAAGAAUAAUUUUAGCAAACAACGAUGCCCAUUUUUUAUGUGGGACGAAAGAUCCUCUCCAGUCCUCUCUCUACCGCCCCUUCAAAUUUAAAGACGAUAAAAAACCCACCAGUUCAACUAUGGAUCUAUUUGGCAUCCUCAUUUUAUGUAUUUUUGUUUUCCCAUAAAUUAGUGAAAUACCAUUUAGAAAUUGACGUUAAAGAUAGCAUUUG